AUCACCAGGGGAAUCUUGUGAAGAUGCAGAUUCUCACUCAGUAGGUGCUGAGGGUAGGGGCUGAGGGGGGUCUGAGAUUCUGCAUUUCUCACAAGCUUCCAAGUGAUGCCAG
rnacentral:pre_miRNA from 1 species